rnacentral:rRNA from 1 species
AAAGUAACUCCUGAUUAUCAUAAAUCACCUCACCACUUUAGAGCAAUUCAAAUGAGGUACAGCCCAUUUGAUAUAGGAUACAACCUUAACUAACGGGUAACAUUAAAUCUACACCUCCAAGUAGGCCUAAGAGCAGCCACCCUUUAAAAAAGCGUCAAAGCUUAAUCAUGUUCACAUCAAUUUUUAAUCUUCAAUUGACCCCUUUUACCUUACUGAGAAUUUCUAUAUCAUAUAGAAUAUUUUAUGCUAAAACUAGUAACAAGAGUAAACCCUCUCCCAAUGCAAACACAAGCCAGCAAGAACCCAUCACUGGCAAUUAACAGACUUAAACAAAAGUAGCAACAUCUCUAGAAAACCCUACUCAUCCCAACUGUUAACCUUAUACCAGAGCAUUUCAGGAAAGAUUAAAAGAAAAAGAAGGAACUCGGCAAACACUAAUCCCGCCUGUUUACCAAAAACAUCGCCUCUUGCCCCCAUAAGAGGUCAAGCCUGCCCAGUGACUUUGUUCAACGGCCGCGGUAUCCUAACCGUGCAAAGGUAGCGUAAUCACUUGUUUUCUAAAUAAAGACCAGUAUGAAAGGCAUCACGAGGAUUAAACUGUCUCCUUUUUCCAAUCAGUGAAACUAAUCUCCCCGUGAAGAAGCGGGGAUUAUCCUAUA